UACAGAGGUCCCGAGCGUUGUUCGGAUUCACUGGGCGUAAAGGGUGCGUAGGUGGCAUGGUAAGUUUGAUGUGAAAGCUCAGGGCUCAACCCUGAAAUGGCAUUGAAUACUACUGUGCUGGAGGUUUGGAGGGGGGACUGGAAUUCUCGGUGUAGCAGUGAAAUGCGUAGAUAUCGAGAGGAACACCAGUGGCGAAGGCGAGUCCCUGGACAACACCUGACACUGAGGCACGAAAGCGUGGGGAGCAAACAGG
rnacentral:rRNA from 1 species